GAUGAACGCUGACCGAAUGCUUAACACAUGCAAGUCAACUGUGGCGGACGGGUGAGUAACGCGUAAAGAACUUGCCUCACAGAUAGGGACAACAUUUGGAAACGAAUGCUAAUACCUGAUACUGUGAGAGAGCUUUGCGUCCCAUUAGCUAGUUGGAGAGGUAACGGCUCACCAAGGCGAUGAUGGGUAGCCGGCCUGGGAGGGUGAUCGGCCACAAGGGGACUGAGACACGGCCCUUACUACGACGGGAGGCAGCAGUGGGGAAUAUCGGACAAAGGACCAAAGUCUUAUCCAGAAAUUCUGUGCGCACGAUGAAGUUUUCGGAAUGUAAAGUGCUUUCAGUUGGGAAGCAGUACCAACAGAAGAAGUGACGGCUAAAUACGUGCCAGCAGCCGCGGUAAUAC
rnacentral:rRNA from 1 species